rnacentral:rRNA from 1 species
GGGGGAUAAGCUUCAUUGUCGAGAGGGAACAGCCCAGACUACCAGUUAAGGCCCCUAAAUAUUUACUAAGUGGUAAAGGAUGUAAUAGUACAUAGACAACCAGGAGGUUUGCCUAGAAGCAGCCACCCUUUAAAAAGUGCGUAAUAGCUUACUGGUCAAGUGCUUUUGCGCCGAAAAUGAAUGGGACUAAGUAUUUUGCCGAAACUGUAGGAUAAAAAUCGGUAGAAGAGCGUUCUGUAUUGGUUUGAAGCAAUAAUGAAAAUAGUUGUGGACUAAGCAGAAGUGAGAAUGUCGGCUUAAGUAACGAAAACAUUGGUGGAAAUCCAAUGCCCCGAAAGCCUAAGGUUUCCUUCGCAAGGCUCGUCCACGAAGGGUUAGUCAGGUCCUAAAACAAGGUUAAAAAACGUAGUUGAUGGAUAACAGGUUAAUAUUCCUGUACCAUGUUUUAUUUGUUGAAAGUGACGAAGAAGGCUAUGUCAGCCAUAGAAUGGUUGUUUUGGUUUAAUCUUUCGAGAUGUUGAGAGGUAGAAAUAAAAAAUACCUUGAGUUGAGAAGAGAGUACGAAUAGCAUUACGGUGCUUAAAGUGACUUAUGUCAUGCUUCCAAGAAAAGCUUUUAUAACGUGUAGUAAAACAUGCCUGUACCUUAAACUGACACAGGUAGGCUAGUAGAGAAUACUAAGGGGCGCGAGAUAACUCUUUCUAAGGAACUCGGCAAAAUGACUCUGUAACUUCGGGAGAAAGAGUGCCUCUUAAAAAAGAGGUCGCAGUGAAUCAGACUCAAGCGACUGUUUACAAAAACACAGGUCUCCGCUAAGUUGUAAAACUAUGUAUGGGGGCUGACGCCUGCCCAGUGCCGGAAGGUUAAAAAAAUUGGUUAGCGUAAGCGAAGCUGGUAAUGAAGCCCUGGGAACGGCGGCCGUAACUUUAACGGUCCUUAAGGGAGCGAAAUUCCUUGUCAGGUAAGUUCUGACCCGCACGAAAGGCGUAACGAUAUAGGUACUGUCUCGGAACGUGACUCGGUGAAAUAGAAUUGACUGUGAAGAUGCGGUCUACUUCCACUUGGACAGAAAGACCCUAUGAAGCUUUACUAUUCUUUGACAUUGUUUGCGAUUCUUUUUUGCGCAGUAUAGGUGGGAGACUGUGAUUUACUUUUUUUGGGGGGUAAUGAGUCGAAAUUUGAGAUACCACUCUUUAAAGAGUUGGAAACUAAUGAUAUUAAAUAAAUAUUUGACAUUUUCAGGUUGGCAGUUUUACUGGGGCGGUAGCCUCCUAAAAGGUAACGGAGGCGUGCAAAGGUUUUCUCAAUCUGGAUGGAAAUCGGAUGAAGAGCAUAAAGGUAUAAGGAAGCUUGACUGUGAGACAGAUAAGUCGAACAGGGACGAAAGUCGGUCUUAGUGAUCCGACAGUUCUGAGUGGAAAGGCUGUCGCUAAACAGAUAAAAGUUACUCUAGGGAUAACAGGCUGAUCUCCCCCAAGAGUUCACAUCGACGGGGAGGUUUGGCACCUCGAUGUCGGCUCAUCGCAUCCUGGGGCAGUAGUAUGUCCCAAGGGUUGGGCUGUUCGCCCAUUAAAGCGGUACGUGAGCUGGGUUCAGAACGUCGAGAGACAGUUCGGUCCAUAUCCGGUGGAAAACGUUAGAGUAUUGAGAACAUUUUUCCUUAGUACGAGAGGACCAGGAAAAACGCACCACUAGUGUACCAGUUUUUGUACCAACAGAAUACGCUGGGUAGUUAUGUGUGGAGUGGAUAACUGCGAAAAAAGCAUUAG